GGUAUUGGAGAUGGUACUGUGAGUUAUGGAAUGGAUGAUGGAGAUGACAUUUACAUGCGUUCAUGGACAGGCACCAUUAUUGGGCCGCAUAAUGAACAUUUUGCAAAACGAAAUAAGAUGGUUCUUACUCUUAAAUAUAUAGAGUGCUGCGAAGGGAAAUAACAAGAUUUGGACCUGAUCAAUUUUUCUGACAGAUCCUACAUACAUGAUCCGGGCUAUUCGAAGCAAUGUAGCUGACAAUGUGUAUUGUACACUCAUUGCUCAGAGUGCUGUUCAUGGAGCUAUGGCCGGGUACACAGGCUACACAAGUGGGCUUGUUAAUGGCAGACAAACUUAUAUUCCUUUCUAUUUGGUAUUAUAUAUUAUCUAUGAAGUGGAGCAUUCUGUAAGGAGGAUCUUGAUGCAACUGAAUAAAAGAAUAACUGGUAUUUAUUGUUGCACAAGCUACUCACAGAAAUGGGAAAACUUGAUGCCCUGAUUAUAUAAAGCAGAUACCUUCAUUUCUACUUUGAUUCAUUUGGUAUUAUUUCUUCUAAGUCAAUUAUAAACCUUGUUUUGAUGAUUUCUAAAUGAUCAAUACAAGAUCGAUAAUUAACAUUUGACUAUCCCCCUUUUUACUAAUAUUUAAUCCCAAUAUUCAUGCAUUACUUGUUAUAUUUUAUCCAUUGCUAUAUAGUUAGAUUUCUUUGGUAGAAGUGAUGGGUCAUGCUAAUUAAAGUUCUACGAGUUUCUUUUUGCUCAUAGUUGUCCAAUACUAUCAACUAUAAAAUUGCUGGCAACAUUAAUUUGCUAUAUUCAUGUAAAAUUAAAAUUGCUGGAAUCAUUUUUUAAUUAGAAUUGGCUUGUUUGUUUAUGAUGGAGUUUGUGCAUAAAUGUGUGGUGCCAAAUUUAUUUAUUUUGGAAUAUUUGUUUUAAUAUAUGUAUCUUGUGAAAUUUGGAAAUAUCUUAUUUCAAAAUGAAAACUAGUUAAUAUUGAAGUUCACUACAUUUGUGAUCUUGAAAGGGCAAGUUUUUGAUACGUAUUUAUCUUUUUUGAAGAUGCAAACUACAUGUACUGAUUUUUGACUUCAGAUUGUGACAUUUAUCUCCAUGUUAAACUUUCAGAUGAGUCCAUUCAAUAGCUCGCCUUGUGCUGUUCUUGAUCGAUCAAGAUACUUGAAGAAAAUGUGUCAUAAUUGUGUUGAUUAGGAAGUUUUUCCCAUUGCAUCAAUAGUUGUUAUAACCUUUUAUGCAUUUAUUCUUGUUACAUUUAUUCAUUUAUUCUGAUUAGAUUAAGGUAAUGAUAUGAUUAGAUUAGAAGGCCUUAACUAGAUUAAGGUAAAAAGCAGAUAUGAUUAGAUUAAGGUAAAGAGAUACGAUUAGAUAUUAAUCUAGUCAAGGUCUUCAGCAGAUAUGAAGACCUUGACUAGGUCAAGAUCUAGAUUAGAUUAAGGUAAAGAUAAAAAAGGUAAAGAGAUAUGAUUAGAUGUUUUUUGUUAUAAUUGAAAAAACAAAAAAGGGUAAGCUGGAAAAGGUUUAUGAAGUAAUGUUCUUUGUAGUUCAAAACCAGAAGUAACGGAUUGAAUAAAUUUUGCACCUUAGAGGAAGUCUGCGAUCUGAUCAAAACCAGAAUUGCUUUGUGGAUUAAAUAUAAUUCUAGGUUGUUGCAUUAUUCAGUCCAUGAUAUGGUUGAGAAUCUGGAUCAGGUUCAUAGGUGUGUGGGGGGUAGGUGGUUGUGUCCUUGCUUGCUGGGUGGAAUUUCAUUAUGGACAGGGAUUGAAUUGGGUUAAUUUAGUAGUCAUUUUGUUUGAUAGUUAAGCUACCUUAAUUUAUGUUUCAAUUUUUUAUUUUCUGAAUUGGUGAUGAUCUGAGUUGCUGCUGUGAAGUUUUUGUUGUUGCUUGUGAUAUUGCUGCUGUAGCUAUGGUUUCUGUGCUGAUGUGUAGUUCAGUAGUAGAAUUGGGUUUUUGAUAUUUAUGCUGCUGCUGGAUCUGUUGAUAGUGAUUGUGUCCUUGCUUGCUGGGUGGAACUUCAUUAUGGCCAGGGUUUGAAUUGGUUUAACUUAGAAGUCAAUUUGUUAGAUAGUUAAGCAACCUUAACUAUCUAAAUUGGUGAUGAUCUGAGUUGCUGUUGUGAAGUUGUGGUUUCUGUUCUGAUGUGUAGUUCAGGAGUAGAAUUGGGCUUUUAAGUCCUCUGGGCUGUGCUGCUAUCCUGUGGAACACUAAAUGAUUUGGUGACUGCCAGUCAGUACUACUGUGAAGACUAGAGGAGAUUCAUGGAGGCUGAAGGUGAUGAUGAUGAUGCCGAGGCUGAUGAUGAUGAAACUGACAAAGAUGCUGAUAUUACAGAAGAGAGUGCACAUGAUGAGUUGUAG